rnacentral:lncRNA from 1 species
GAAGAAAAACAAUGGUGAGAGAAAUGUUAUAGUCACAAAUUUACCUGCACAAGUAAAAAAAAAAAAAAAAGGUUAAACCCUAACCUUAAGGGUCCCCCACCACUCCUUCCCUGGAGUAUCGUGAGGGAGGUAAAUCGCAGGUUAUGCCUCUAAGGGUAUAGAGUGGAAGGCUGCUUGUACACUUGCACUUACCCAAGAGCCAAAUCCAUAUUUCAGGAUUCGAACCCUUGACGCAGCAGCCUCAAGCAAAGCUGAAUUUCUCCACCCUCCCCUUUUACCACUUGAAGAUGUGCCCUGAGGGCUACCUGCACAAGUAAUUAUGUGGAGGAGAAGUACAACUAUGUUGAAUAUAAGGACAAAAGAAACUCUUGACAUACAAGGUACAAGACUGAAUCAAUAAAUUUUGGUACCUAAGAUACUGAAGCAAGUAAAUAUUUGUGUGGAGACAAAUCUAUUAUAAUGUAACACAAAAAGGUCAAUGAUCAUGUUCCAUUUGGUGAUGAUUUGAAGGUGCAAGUCGAGCAAAUGUGAAAUUCUCAUCCAAAUGAAAAAUGGAGACAAA